rnacentral:rRNA from 1 species
CGCUCUUUGAUAUAGUAUAAAGAGUAAAGUCUGCCCACUGAAAUGUUGAAUGGCCGCGGUAUUUUGACCGUGCGAAGGUAGCAUAAUCAUUAGUCUAUUAAUUGUAGACUGGUAUGAAAGGCUAAAUGGUAAAAAGCUGUCUUUUCUAGUAUUAUGAAUUUUAGAUUUUUGUGAAGACGCAAAGAUAUAGUUAGGGGACGAGAAGACCCUAUUAAGCUUUACAUGUAAAUUUUAGGUAAGAAAAUUAAAAUGAAAUGUUAUGUUGGGGCGACAGUAAGUAAUAACACUUAUUACAAUUAGAAUAAUUUAGUUAGACUAUUUAUGAUCCAAAAUAUUUGAUUAGAAGAAUAAGUUACUAUAGGGAUAACAGCGUAAUCUUAUUAGAGAGUUCAUAUUGAUGAUAAGGGUUGCGACCUCGAUGUUGAAUUAGGAUACCCUUAAGGUGCAGAAGUUUUUUAGGGUGGUCUGUUCGACCAUUAAAAUCCUACA